GAUGAACGCUGGCGGCGUGCCUAAUACAUGCAAGUCGAGCGAACGGACGAGAAGCUUGCUUCUCUGAUGUUAGCGGCGGACGGGUGAGUAACACGUGGAUAACCUACCUAUAAGACUGGGAUAACUUCGGGAAACCGGAGCUAAUACCGGAUAAUAUUUUGAACCGCAUGGUUCAAAAGUGAAAGACGGUCUUGCUGUCACUUAUAGAUGGAUCCGCGCUGCAUUAGCUAGUUGGUAAGGUAACGGCUUACCAAGGCAACGAUGCAUAGCCGACCUGAGAGGGUGAUCGGCCACACUGGAACUGAGACACGGUCCAGACUCCUACGGGAGGCAGCAGUAGGGAAUCUUCCGCAAUGGGCGAAAGCCUGACGGAGCAACGCCGCGUGAGUGAUGAAGGUCUUCGGAUCGUAAAACUCUGUUAUUAGGGAAGAACAUAUGUGUAAGUAACUGUGCACAUCUUGACGGUACCUAAUCAGAAAGCCACGGCUAACUACGUGCCAGCAGCCGCGGUAAUACGUAGGUGGCAAGCGUUAUCCGGAAUUAUUGGGCGUAAAGCGCGCGUAGGCGGUUUUUUAAGUCUGGUGUGAAAGCCCACGGCUCAACCGUGGAGGGUCAUUGGAAACUGGAAAACUUGAGUGCAGAAGAGGAAAGUGGAAUUCCAUGUGUAGCGGUGAAAUGCGCAGAGAUAUGGAGGAACACCAGUGGCGAAGGCGACUUUCUGGUCUGUAACUGACGCUGAUGUGCGAAAGCGUGGGGAUCAAACAGGAUUAGAUACCCUGGUAGUCCACGCCGUAAACGAUGAGUGCUAAGUGUUAGGGGGUUUCCGCCCCUUAGUGCUGCAGCUAACGCAUUAAGCACUCCGCCUGGGGAGUACGACCGCAAGGUUGAAACUCAAAGGAAUUGACGGGGACCCGCACAAGCGGUGGAGCAUGUGGUUUAAUUCGAAGCAACGCGAAGAACCUUACCAAAUCUUGACAUCCUUUGACAACUCUAGAGAUAGAGCCUUCCCCUUCGGGGGACAAAGUGACAGGUGGUGCAUGGUUGUCGUCAGCUCGUGUCGUGAGAUGUUGGGUUAAGUCCCGCAACGAGCGCAACCCUUAAGCUUAGUUGCCAUCAUUAAGUUGGGCACUCUAAGUUGACUGCCGGUGACAAACCGGAGGAAGGUGGGGAUGACGUCAAAUCAUCAUGCCCCUUAUGAUUUGGGCUACACACGUGCUACAAUGGACAAUACAAAGGGCAGCGAAACCGCGAGGUCAAGCAAAUCCCAUAAAGUUGUUCUCAGUUCGGAUUGUAGUCUGCAACUCGACUACAUGAAGCUGGAAUCGCUAGUAAUCGUAGAUCAGCAUGCUACGGUGAAUACGUUCCCGGGUCU
rnacentral:rRNA from 1 species